GCAUGUAUUCAUAUCGCGGAGGGACUAAACUACAUUAAAAACAUUAAGCCUAAGGGUAGUGGUGCUAGUGGUAGUACUAUCACCUCGCCUAAUGAUAAAGACAAGCAACUGCUUGAU
rnacentral:rRNA from 1 species